ACCAAAACCAGCAACGUAACCAUCGUCUCACUCUACUCCAACUACCUCCGCAACCGUCUUCGCGCUUUCUACCCCUUCCAUCCAUCCAAUCUCCUCCGCUUCCUCUCCAACCUCGCCGCUCCUUUCCGAUCGAUCCACCACCGCCAAUGCAUACCUCUUCCUCUCCCUUCCAAUUUCCGCGACUCUUCCAUGAUCAUAAAGGAAUCUAGAGUGCAUGGUGUAUUGGAGGAUAUACUGGAACAUGUUUUGUUGAACUUGCAUAGUAUAGAGAAGAAUCUCCAGUUUUGGCAAUCUAAAUCAGAGAAAUCGGAUGCUAGUAAAGCUUAUUUCAUGGUUUUUGAGAGGGGUCCGAGCGCUUUUAUCAACCAAACAGCUAAGUUGUUGUGCGGAAAUGCUGCUUAAGGAUCUGUUUUCAACUUUUCAUACAUGAGAGGGUAACGGUUUUGAGUAGCUUGAGAUAUGCUCUGGCAACAUUCUUAGCUCAGUUUUAUGUGGAAGUUGAUAAAAUUGGAGAGGAGUUGGUGAAAGAUCCACAGCAAGAGAACAUAAAAUAAAAAGACACCAUAUGCAACUCAAAAUCUUAAAAUGUCAAAUUAAUGGGUCUCUCAUCUUAUAAACUCCUCACUCUUCUAUGCUUUCUUUGAUGUGGGACUAACUUCAACACUCCUCACACUUGCAACACUAACAGAAAGUUCAAUCGGUCACCUACAUGCAGCGCAUCAGACUGAUUCUUCUGUUGAUGGAAGCUAUUCAAUUCCACUACUGUUUAAGAAGCUGCCGGAAAUAAAUCAGGAGUAUUCCCAGUGGACAGAUUGUGAAAUCAGGGAUGCUAUCAAUUCUAUAUAUCAAAAUUUACAAAAGCUGGAUUCUUACAUAUCUGUUCUUGUAAGAGCCUCUAUCUUAUGA